UACAGAGGUCCCAAGCGUUGUUCGGAUUCAUUGGGCGUAAAGGGUGCGUAGGCGGCCAACUAAGUCGGAUGUGAAAUCCCCAGGCUCAACUUGGGAACUGCAUCCGAUACUGGAUGGCUUGAAUUCGGGAGAGGGAUGCAGAAUUCCAGGUGUAGCGGUGAAAUGCGUAGAUAUCUGGAGGAAUACCGGUGGCGAAGGCGGCAUCCUGGACCGACAUUGACGCUGAACGGCGAAAGCUAGGGGAGCAAACGGG
rnacentral:rRNA from 1 species